GAAAAAUUAGUUAAACUAUAACCUAAGAUUGUCAGUCUUAAAUUACUAAUGUGAACUUAGUAUUUUUCA
rnacentral:tRNA from 1 species